rnacentral:rRNA from 1 species
UAGGGAAUCUUCGGCAAUGGACAAAAGUACUGACCGAGCAACGCCGCGUGAGUGAAGAAGGUUUUCGGAUCGUAAAACUCUGUUGUUAGAGAAGAACAAGGGUGAGAGUAACUGUUCACCCCUUGACGGUAUCUAACCAGAAAGCCACGGCUAACUACGUGCCAG